AUUCGGGCUUCAUAGACAUCCCCACUGUGAUGACUUCACAAUUUCAAAGGGAGUUCAAACCCGGGAAGGAGACCAUGGGACCAGUAGAUACUUCAGAUCAGAAGGCGGGGGAAUUUUUAUUCUCCAAGAACCACAACGCCCAGAGCCACAAUGCACACUUUUGGGAACGUGCCUGUCAAGGCCUUCUGAGCAGCAAGCUUCUGGGCCACCUUCCUCUUCAUAACCAAUGCCAUUGGCCCUUGCCAAUCCCUGCUCAGCAGCCACAGCAGUCUAUCUGCUCCAGUCCCACAGCCUGCCCUGGACUGAGCCCUGAAGGGAAGGCUGUGGAGUCUACAGAAACACAUCUUUUCCAGGAUGUUGAAAUGAGCCUGACUCAGAGAGAAGAUAUGCAUAUUUAUGUAUGUUUUACAAGAACAACUAACCUUGAAAAAAUGCAGAAUAACUUGGAGAGGACUGAAUUAUGCUUACUUUUCAAAUUCUCAAUACUCCUUUAUUUUCUGAGUGGUGAUUUAAAGUCCUGAAGUUUGGAAUUGCAUUUCUGUAAAUCACACGUGGAGUGAUAAUUGAUUUGGGUAUCUGUUGAAGAGUCUGGGAAAUUUGACACAUGGAAUAUGAAAGAAUGGAGUUUCUUGAUGCUGCCUUUUUGUACUUCAACAUAUUUAUCAUGGGUGCUUCUUGCACAGUGGCUGCUAAAUUCAGAGUGCAGGGCCAGGAAUUUGGCUCAGUGGUUCCGCCUCCUGUCUUGUAAGCAGAAGGACCCGAGUUUGAUUCCUGGUACCAAGAAAAAGAAAGAAAGAAAGAAAGAAAUUCAGAGUGGAUGUGAUUCAGGCGUGAUUCCUUUGAAAAGACAAUGCAUAGUACUGUAUUUAGGAUGAUUGUAGGAGAUAUGUAAUAUCUAGCUUUCCCUCUUUCUGUGACUUUUAGCAUCCUUUGAUGUUUUAGUACCAAAUCAAUAAUCCAUUGGCAGUUGUAAAAUGGUGUUUUUCUAAUACUAUUAUUUAAUUUUCAUUUAUUAAUCAGAAUACCUUUAUGAAGAGAAACUUCCUUUCAUUUCCUAUUUAAUUACUUUGCAGUGCAGUUCAUUGGAAAAAUUGUUAUUUCUGUCCUCUUAUUUACAAGUUCAUAAGAUAUUGAGUUGGUUCAGUAUCAUUGUCUAAAGUCAUCCAAAUUUGAAAUAUUGUUAUGAAAUUUGAGAAUUUAUACAAUGUUUUGCAAUCCUGUGCAGUUGUAUCAUUGUUAGAUAUUACAUAUUAUAUGACUGACUUUUGUUUAAUUCUUGUGUGACUUUAUUAUCUAUGUGGGAAUGGCUUCUUCAAUAACAGUCAUUUUUUUCUUUUCUUUUGUUUUCCUGGUCCUGGGGAUUGAAUUUAGGACUUUGCGUUUGCGAGGCAGGCGUGGUGCCACUGAGCUAAAUCCCGGGUCCAAUAACAGUCAUUCUUUUUUUUUUUUUUUUUUUAAUAACAGUCAUUCGUUAGGGAAUAGGUUUUAUUUUUCUUUCUUUUUUCUACUUUCCUCCUACAGAAAGUAAGUGGCUUUAUUCUAUUGUCACAAAAAAGAAAGAAAUGAUUACAUUUUAAAAAAUCAGACAAUACAAAAAAAGCAUUAAAAGAGAAACUAAAACUAAGUCAAAAUUCCACCACCCCAAAUUAACCACUGUAACAUUUUGGUAAAUACCCUUCCAGAAUUUUGUAAACAUAAUAUAUAGAAAUAAAAUCUUAUUUUUUGUUCUAUUUUAUGUCCUUUUAAAAUGUAAAUAUAUUUGAUGAAUCUAUUACCAUGGAAAUAGAUGUAGCCAGUAUCAUCACUUUUAAUAUAAGGAUAUAAAUGCAGAUAUAUUUAUAUAGUUUCUAUUUUCCAACUGAAAAAUAAUGCUAUAAUAAAUGACCACUUUUGUAUUAGAAAUGCAAAACAUUUCCUGACUCAUCUGUGUGUCCUUAUGAAUUUCUGAAUGAGCGGUAGAAUAGAGAAGACUGUAUCUGAUUUUCUCUCACAAAUGAGAAGCUAAUGUAUGCUUCAAUAACUUAAAGAGAUGAGAUGAAUAGUAGCAAUCAGAUUUCUUGCUUAACAAUUUGGAACUGUAAAACCAAUAAACUGCGAGUCACUGAUAGUUUGAGUUGGGGGUUGUAGCUGCCAUUUAUAACCCCAUGUAUGCUGAGGAAUAGGAAGAAAUAAAACAGAGAUCUGAACCCUUUUGGAGUGUACAUUCUAGAGGAGAAAGUCAAAUAGUUGACAUUCUAGGUGAGUAAUACAGUAUGUUGGAGUGAUCUGGAAAGAAUAAAAAGAGCAGAGUGAGGUAGAUCGAGAGCACAAGUUGUGGGGAUGGAAGAUAUGGUUUUUGUGGUAUGAGAAGAGAGAGCUGUUGCCUUGGUUUUGUCAGUUUUCUAGUUAGUAGUCUGUGUUUGUAUGAAUCCUUUCUAGCUGUACUUAUUUGGAGUUCUUGGCAUUUGUGACAUUUCAGUCUGGUUUCAGUCUGUUUCUGUUCUUUUCAACUUUGAUGAAAAUACAGUGGACCCUUGACUUAUGAACUUGAUCAGUUCCCGAGGGCUGGUUGUAACUCAAGUUAGUUGUAAGUCACUACACCUGAGAUCUAGAUGUUUAUCUGUGUACAUGCUAUAGAUAACAAGAGGCAGACGAAUCAUCCAUUAACCUAAUUAACCCAAGUUGUUCCUAUGUCAGGCCAGUUAUAACUUGAGGGUCCACUGUACUCUUAUGGUUUAGUGUCUAGGUACUUAUUUAAUGGACUUUUGUGGGAGACCAGAGGAGAACUGAAGCCUACUCUGUGAGCAAAAGGAGAAUGGCUGCACUUGGGGUGAUUGCAUUUUGCAGGUUGUAGGGAAAACUUAAGACAGCUGAGGUUAAGUUGUUUACCAGAGAAUGUACUAAUGGAUAUUGGAACGCAGAUGAAUCUUGUGUUACUUUGAUUGUGCGUGCCCAUGUUUGGGUGAAUAAAGGUAAGAUGAGUCAGAGGAGGCUCCUCUGCCUACUAAGAGGCAAGACACCCCUGGCUGCUAGCAUGUUAAGCUGACUCCUGUCUCUGUCAUUCAUCCUCCUUUGAUCCCCGGGUCAGGGAGAACAAAGUAGCAAGUCUAAGUCUCUGAGGGUCGGCUACAUGUGGUGCCCCAACAUAGGGCUUGGACAGGGCUCAGCUACAGACUGUAUAAGAUAAUUUGCGACUGGUGGAUUACUGGAUUAAUAAAUGCAUAUUCAAAUUUCUCAGACACUUUUGAGAUGAAUUUUUCUUUCCCAACUCCCAUAAUAUUGACAGAGAUGAAUAAAUGUCUAUGUGACACAUUGCCAAACAUUUACUAUGUCAAAUAGGGUCCAGCAAUUUGAGUAGGGGAAAUUUGAUAUAAAGCAUUUUAAUGAAAUCAAAGUAGUUAACUACAGAGUAAGAGAGAACACUAAAAUGUGCAGAAGUAGCU
rnacentral:lncRNA from 1 species